rnacentral:piRNA from 1 species
UGGCAGAAGUGUGGGCCUGUACGC